rnacentral:rRNA from 1 species
GGGNUUUGGCAUGGGGGCAACCCUGNCCAGCAAUGCCGCGUGAGUGAUGAAGGCCUUCGGGUUGUAAAGCUCUUUCGACGGGGAAGAUGAUGACGGUACCCGUAGAAGAAGCCCCGGCUAACUUCGUGCCAGCAGCCGCGGUAAUACGAAGGGGGCCUAGCGUUGUUCGGAUUUACNUGGGCGUAAAGGGCGCGUAGGCGGUUUUGUAAGUCAGGCGUGAAAGCCCCGGGCUCAACCCGGGAAUUGCGCUUGAUACUGCGGGACUUGAAUCCAGGAGAGGAUGGCNGGAAUUCCCAGUGUAGAGGUGAAAUUCGUAGAUAUUGGGAAGAACACCGGUGGCGAAGGCGGCCAUCUGGCCUGGCAUUGACGCUGAGGCGCGAAAGCGUGGGGAGCAAACAGGAUUAGAUACCCUGGUAGUCCACGCUGUAAACGAUGAGUGCUAGACGUCGGGAAGCUUGCUUUUCGGUGUCGACGCUAACGCAUUAAGCACUCCGCCUGGGGAGUACGGCCGCAAGGUUAAAACUCAAAAAAAUUGACGGA